GCGUAGCAGUCGAGAAACCUUCGCAAUGCGGGAAACCGCGACGAGGGGACUCCCAGUGCCUACGCUCAGCGUAGGCUGUUCCCGAGCCUAGAAAGCUCGGGGAGUAAGGGCUGGGUAAGACGGGUGCCAGCCGCCGCGGUAAUACCCGCAGCCCGAGUGGUGGCCACUAUUAUUGGGCCUAAAGCGUCCGUAGCCGGCCCGGUAAAUGCCUGGGUAAAUCGUGAGGCCUAACCUCACGAAUUCCGGGUAGACUGCCGGGCUAGGGACCGGAGGAGGGAGAGGGUACUCCAGGGGUAGGGGUGGAAAUCCUGUAAUCCCUGGAGGACCACCGGUGGCGAAGGCGCUCUCCUAGGACGGGUCCGACGGUGAGGGACGAAAGCCAGGGGAGCGAACCGGAUUAGAUACCCGUGUAGU
rnacentral:rRNA from 1 species